rnacentral:lncRNA from 1 species
GCCAGAAACAGCAACCCUUCUGGGUCCCCUUCCACCACGCAGAAGCUUUACUUUCGCUUUCACUUUACUUUUGCUUUCACUUUAACAAAUCUUGCAGCCGCACACUCUUUGGGUCCGCCCGUUUCUCUAAUCAAGUUGUAACACUCGCUGCUGUGGUCCACAGCUUCAUUCCUUGAAGCCCGUGAGACACGAACGCUUCCAUUGAGAAAAACCUUCCAUCAGAAGAAGACUUCUCGUCUCAGUGGGACUGCUGAGUUGAAUGAGACGAGGUUUCACCAUGUUACCCAAGCUGAUCUCGAACUCCUGGGUUCAUGCGAUCCACCUGACUCAGCCUCACAAAGUGGUAGGACUACAGAAAAUGAACAGGACUAUUCUUCCUCAAACAAAGAGAUCGUGUGAUGAAGACUCACCAGAGCUGUUCUCUAUAAGCUUGAAGAGCAAUGGUAUCAGGUGCUUUUUUUUCUGAAGCUUUGGUAGUGUAACUGUAAGAGUCCUGGAAUUGGAAAAGCAAAUCCAGAAGUUGAGUUCCAUGACUUUUUUGCUGUUUGCCUUUGGACUUGCAUCAUUUAUAUUUUUAAUUCAUCGAGGAUGAGAAAAUUGAUUAACACAAAAUCUUUUCAUGUCUUUUCUGAUGAGAGACUAGCUGAAUCCAAGAAGAGAAGCCCUUGAAGAGUGUAUUCUAUUCUAGACAAGCAUUCACACAUUGGCUUCUUUGGUGCCAGCAUGUUUCUGAUCAGCAUGAAAACUGCGCAGGAGCUUUUCUGUCUUGCAGAGCUAGUUAAUGAGAUUGUUGCUGCCUUCAGAUUCUAUAAAGGACUUCUCCAAUAUUGGAUUAAAGAAUGAAGAAAGGAUCAAAUUGAGACAUCCAGGGGGGAAGAGUUCCCUGGCAAAACUCCAAUCUGCCUGAGCACUGAGGUGGAGCCACAGAAGUCCGGGUCAUUUGCACCUGGGAGGAGCCUGGCCCCUCCUCUUCCUGUGUGGAAUCUGGGAUUUAAUCUGUGAGGAGGGAAGGCCAAGGGCAGGAAGCACAGGCUCUCACUUCACUAAGAGUCUCUGUUUCCCCUUUUUUUCCUUUAUGCCUAAUUAAUAAAUCCCAUUUUUCUCACUCUUCAAAUAGUCUUCAAGCCUAAAUUUUCAUGACCAUGGAACAAGGACCCCAUCUUUAGCUGAACUAAGGAAAAGUCCUGCAACAAAAUUCUUUGCUAAAAAUACAUGAGGUUGCCUUUUCCUUCUUAAUCUUAAAAGAAAUAUAUUUCAAUGGUUAACGUUUUAGUAAUUCAAAAAUUAUCAAGCAUUUGUUCACAACCAUAAGAUGUGCAUUGUUUUAUAUUCCUACUUAAUAAUAGACUAUAAUUGUCUAAUUAGACUGCCGAUGUUGAUCUUUGUGGCUCAUUGCAUUGAUUAUAAGCAGUGUUUUGGGUUUGUGUGUGUGUGUCAAAUUUAGGGUUUUUUUGGUAUGGCUGCUGGUUGGUGUAGCCUGUAUCCAGUAUCCUGUAUUAAUUCUAAUAUUUGCAUUUUGAACAUAUUUACAAGUUGCUAAAAUAGCAAAGCUUCGAGAUGAGCCUGGCUGAUAUGGCAAAACCCCGUCUCUACUAAAAAUACAAAAAUUAGCCUGGUGUGGUGGUGCAUGCCUGUAAUCCCAGCUACUUGGAAGUCUGAGGCAGGAGAAUCUCUUGAACCCAGAAGGUGGAGGUUGCAGUGGGCCAAGAUCGCACCACUGCACUCCAGCCUCGGUGAUAGAGCGAGACUACGUCUCAAAAAUAAAAUAAAAUAAAAUAAAAUAAAAAUAGCAAAGCUAUGUAUGGUUUCUCUGAGUUUUGUAAUUUAUCAUUGUUAACUGCAGAAAUUUAUUAUAUGAGACAUAUUAUAUGAGACAUAUAAGUGAAUUUGGAUUGGGUUUAAUUUUAUAUUUUUGAAUAUAGUUCUUCAAGAUAAAUUUUAUCUUAGACCUCAAGAAAUAAAAAUAAAAUAAAUUAGAUAUACAAACGA